rnacentral:rRNA from 1 species
UACGGAAGGCAGCAGUGGGGAAUAUUGCACAAUGGGCGCAAGCCUGAUGCAGCCAUGCCGCGUGUAUGAAGAAGGCCUUCGGGUUGUAAAGUACUUUCAGUCGUGAGGAAGGUGUUAAGGUUAAUAACCUUAGCAAUUGACGUUAGCGACAGAAGAAGCACCGGCUAACUCCGUGCCAGCAGCCGCGGUAAUACGGAGGGUGCGAGCGUUAAUCGGAAUUACUGGGCGUAAAGGGCACGCAGGCGGUUAAUUAAGUUGGAUGUGAAAUCCCCGGGCUUAACCUGGGAAUGGCAUUCAAGCUGGUUAGCUAGAGUCUUGUAGAGGGGGUAGAAUUCCAUGUGUAGCGGUGAAAUGCGUAGAGAUGUGGAGGAAUACCGGUGGCGAAGGCGGCCCCUGGACAAAGGCUGACGCUCAUGUGCGAAAGCGUGGGGAGCAAACAGGGAUUAGAUACC